rnacentral:tRNA from 1 species
GGUGCAGUUCAGAGUUACUUCAUUCUUAAUGAAGAGGUCGUGGGUUCGAGUCCCACCUGCCGCU